AGUUUGAUCCUGGCUCAGCCUGAACGCUGGCUGCGUGGUUAAUACAUGCAAGUCGCACGGGCCUAGCAAUAGGUCAGUGGCGAACGGGUGAGUAAUGUAUCGCUAACGUACCCUGGACUCUGGGAUAGCUGCCCGAAAGGGCAGGUAAUACCAGAUGAGACCACGAGGGGGCAUCCCCUUGUGCUCAAAGGUCCGCCGGUCUGGGAGCGGGCGAUAUCGUAUCGGCUAGUUGGUGCGGGUAACGGCCCACCAAGGCGACGACUCGUAACCGGACUGAGAGGUCGGCCGGUCACAUCGGGACUGAGACACUGCCCGGACUCCUACGGGGGGCUGCAGUAACGAAUCUUCCCCAAUGCACGAAAGUGUGAGGGAGCGACGCCGCGUGGAGGACGAAGUCCUUCGGGAUGUAAACUCCUGUCAGGGGUUACCAAGUUCUGAGGAGCCCCAGAGGAAGUGGCGGCUAACUCUGUGCCAUCAGCCGCGGUAAGACAGAGGCCACAAGCGUUAGGCGGAAUCACUGGGCUUAAAGCGCGUGUAGGCGGAUGCUUAAGUGCCUUGUGAAAUCCCACGGCUUAACCGUGGAACUGCUCGGCAUACUGGGCGUCUUGAGCCAUUCUAGGGGUCGCUGGAACAAACGGUGGGAGCGGUGAAAUGCCUAUAUAUUCGUUUGGAACGCCAGUUUGGAACGCCAAAGGUUGAAAACAGGCGACUGGGGAUGUGCUGGACGCUGAGACGCGAAAAGCCAGGGGAGCAAACGGGAUUAGAUACCCCGGUAGUCCUGGCCCUAAACGAUGUCCACUGGAUCGCGGCGCUUUGACGGCGUCGCGGUCGGAGCAAAAGUGUUAAGUGGACCGCCUGGGAAGUACGGUCGCAAGGCUAAAACUCAAAGGAAUUGACGGGGGCUCACACAAGCGGUGGAGCAUGUGGUUUAAUUCGAAGCAACGCGCAGAACCUUACCUGGGCUUGACAUGCUUGGAUUAUCCCUGUGAAAGCAGGGUACGCCCGCAAGGGUGGAACGAGUACAGGUGCUGCAUGGCUGUCGUCAGCUCGUGUCGUGAGAUGUCGGGUUAAGUCCCAUAACGAGCGAAACCUUUGCCCUUAGUUACCAUCGGGUUAUGCCGGGGACUCUAAGGGGACUGCCGGUGUCAAACCGGAGGAAGGUGGAGAUGACGUCAAGUCCUCAUGGCCUUUAUGCCCAGGGCCACACACGUGCUACAAUGGGAUGGACAAAGCGAACCAAGACCGCAAGGUGGUGGAAAUCGCAGAAAUCAUCCCCCAGUUCAGAUCGGAGGCUGCAACCCGCCUCCGUGAAGUUGGAAUCGCUAGUAAUCGCGGAUCAGCUACGCCGCGGUGAAUGUGUUCCUGAGCCUUGUACACACCGCCCGUCAAGUCAUGGGAGCCGGGAAUGGCCGAAGCCGCCUCACCAACGAGGUGUCUACGCCAGGCUCGGUGACUGGGACUAAGUCGUAACAAGGUAGCCGU
rnacentral:rRNA from 1 species